AUUGAACGCUGGCGGCAUGCCUUACACAUGCAAGUCGAACGGUAACGGGCUUUCGGGUGCCGACGAGUGGCGAACGGGUGAGUAAUACAACGGAACGUUCCCGAUCGUGGGGGUUAACGAGGCGAAAGCUUUACUAAUACCGCACACGAUCUACGGAUGACAGCAAGGGACCGCAAGGCCUUGCGCGGACCGAGCGGCCGAUGGCAGAUUAGGUAGUUUGUGGGAUACAAGCUUACCAAGCCGACGAUCUGUAGCUGGUCUGAGAGGAUGAUAAGCCACACUGGGACUGAGACAGGGCCCAGACUCCUACGGGAGGCAACAGUAGGGAAUGUUGGACAAUUGGCGCAAGCCUGAUCCAGCCGUGCGGCGUGGAGUAUGAAGGCCUUCGGGUUGUAAACUGCUUUUGUGCGGAACGAAAAGACUUCUUUUAAUACAGGAGGGUCAUGACGGUACCGUAAGAAUAAGCACCGGCUAACUACGUG
rnacentral:rRNA from 1 species